rnacentral:rRNA from 1 species
UAAACUACGAUUAGAUACCCUAUUAUUUUGAAUGUGAAUUGUUGUUGACCUGAGUAGUAAUAGCUAUGUUCUUGAAACUCAAAGAAUUUGGCGGUACUUUAAUCCUUUCAGAGGAACCUGCCCCGUGAUCGAUAUCCCACGUUUUAUCUUACUUAAUUUGGCUAAGCUUGUAUACCGCCGUCGUCGGAAUGUCUUAAGAGAGGGGGAAUUUUCUGAGAUUUAGUUUAAAAAAGAUGUCAGGUCAAGGUGCAGCUUAUGGUUAAGAGGAGGUGGGUUACAAUAAGUGAAUUUAAACGGAUUGUGACUUGAAAAUUUAGAGUUGCUUGAAGGUGGAUUUGAUGGUAAAGUUGUGGAUAAAAGUGGCUUGAUUAAUGGCUCUAAAGUAUGCACACAUCGCCCGUCGCUCUUA